GACGAACGCUGGCGGCGUGCUUAACACAUGCAAGUCGAACGGAAAGGCCCUGCUUGCAGGGUACUCGAGUGGCGAACGGGUGAGUAACACGUGGGUGAUCUGCCCUGCACUUCGGGAUAAGCCUGGGAAACUGGGUCUAAUACCUGAUAGGAGCCAUUUUUAGUGUGAUGGUUGGAAAGUUUUUUCGGUGUAGGAUGAGCUCGCGGCCUAUCAGCUUGUUGGUGGGGUAAUGGCCUACCAAGGCGGCGACGGGUAGCCGGCCUGAGAGGGUGGACGGCCACAUUGGGACUGAGAUACGGCCCAGACUCCUACGGGAGGCAGCAGUGGGGAAUAUUGCACAAGGGGCGCAAGCCUGAUGAAGAGAGGCCGCGUGGGGGAUGACGGCCUUCGGGUUGUAAAAUCCUUUCGCUAGGGACGAAGCUUUUUGUGACGGUACCUAGAUAAGAAGCACCGGCUAACUACGUG
rnacentral:rRNA from 1 species